AGAAUCAACGCUGGCGGCGUGCCUAACACAUGCAAGUCGAACGAGAAAGUGGAGCAAUCCAUGAGUAAAGUGGCGCACGGGUGAGUAACACGUGACUAACCUACCCCUUGAGUGGGGGAUAACCGUAGACGAAAUCUGGGCUAAUACCGCAUAAUACCUUCGGGUCAAAGGAGCAAUUCGCUUAAGGAGGGGGUCGCGGCCGAUUAGGUUAGUUGGCGGGGUAAUGGCCCACCAAGACUAUGAUCGGUA
rnacentral:rRNA from 1 species